rnacentral:sRNA from 1 species
AAAGAAAGAGACAAAAAAAAU